GCCACACACUGAAAUACCGGUUCCCGUACGAUCACCGAAGUUAAGCAACAUCGAGCCUGGUUAAUAUUUAGAUGGGUGACCACUUGUGAAUACCAGGUGCUGUAA
rnacentral:rRNA from 1 species